UGGUAAUACCGGAUGCUCCGCUCCAUCGCAUGGUGGGGUGGGAAAUGCUUUUGCGGCAUGGGAUGGGGUCGCGUCCUAUCAGCUUGUUGGCGGGGUGAUGGCCCACCAAGGCGUUGACGGGUAGCCGGCCUGAGAGGGUGACCGGCCACAUUGGGACUGAGAUACGGCCCAGACUCCUACGGGAGGCAGCAGUGGGGAAUAUUGCACAAUGGGCGCAAGCCUGAUGCAGCGACGCCGCGUGCGGGAUGGAGGCCUUCGGGUUGUAAACCGCUUUUGUUCAAGGGCAAGGCACGGUUUCGGCCGUGUUGAGUGGAUUGUUCGAAUAAGCACCGGCUAACUACGUGCCAGCAGCCGCGGUAAUACGUAGGGUGCGAGCGUUAUCCGGAUUUAUUGGGCGUAAAGGGCUCGUAGGCGGUUCGUCGCGUCCGGUGUGAAAGUCCAUCGCCUAACGGUGGAUCUGCGCCGGGUACGGGCGGGCUGGAGUGCGGUAGGGGAGACUGGAAUUCCCGGUGUAACGGUGGAAUGUGUAGAU
rnacentral:rRNA from 1 species